UACGUAGGGAGCAAGCGUUGUCCGGAAUUAUUGGGCGUAAAGAGCUCGUAGGCGGUCUGUCGCGUCGGCUGUGAAAACCCGAGGCUCAACCUCGGGCCUGCAGUCGAUACGGGCAAACUAGAGUACUGCAGGGGAGACUGGAAUUCCUGGUGUAGCGGUGAAAUGCGCAGAUAUCAGGAGGAACACCUGGCGGCGAAGGCGGGUUGCUGGGCUGACUGACUGACGCUGAGGCGCGAAAGCCAGGGAGGCGAACGGG
rnacentral:rRNA from 1 species